rnacentral:miRNA from 1 species
ACAAAAGUGUGUGCGCCCAGCCCCGCUUAAAACUAGUGUGGCCCAGGGAAAUCCGACUGUUUAAUUAAAACAGCAUCGUGAAGGCCCGCGGCGGGUGUUGAUGCGAUGAGAUUUCUGCCCAGUACUCUAAAAGUCAAAAC